UUUUGGUCAAAUAUGAGUGGAAUAUUUAAUUGCUGUAGCAUUGGUCUGCUCUUAGGUCAUGGCUGCGUAAGAACAGUUUCGGUGGCGAGAUCUGAGGCCUUUUGGUCACGAGGCUGAGAGGAGCGGGCUGCAGUAGUGACUGCUGCAUGGCAGAACCUCCCUUCUCUUUGGGGUCGGUCCCGCUCCGUGGGGUCCCUCAUGCUUCGUUUCCACGUGUGAAGAGACACACUGCGAUGCAGGGCACGGCGUGAGCCCGUCUGGACGCCGUUAACAGGGCCAAGGCGAGAGGCCAGGCAGGGCACGGGGCACCCGACAUUUUGGGAGCCCCGAGGGCCGCAGCCCCUCGAUCCCUUCAACAAGUGACAAGAUGGAGAAGUGUGGCUGUUCCGACCCCGCCCGGCGGGGCCCAGUCGGACGCCCCCGGCCCAACGGGGCGGGGCUGCAGGGCGGAGCGGCCCGCCCAGGGGCCGAGGUGAACGGCUCUCCACGGCCCGGCCGCACCUGGCGGCGCCUGCCCCGCCCCACCUGCCGGGACCGCCCGCGGCGCCCUCCAUUGCGCAGCCGACCGCCGGGGCCGGCGUCCCUCCGCGCCUCCCCCUCCCACAAUCCCUCCUCCGCUCGCCCCUCGCCUGUCCCCGUCUGAACCGGGGGGAGCCCGCCCCGCUCGGCGUCCCUCAGGCUCCGCCGCUUCCCCUCCCCCCGCGAGGCCGCCGCCCCUCCGCGUUGCCCGCCCGAGCCCCGCUUUCCCCCGCCUCCCGCCGCCCAGCGCGGGUCGCCGCCGCGCCCUGCCAUGAGCGCCCCGCCGCACUGAGCAGCACGCGCGGAGCCAUGCCGGGCUGGAAGAAGAACAUCCCCAUCUGCCUGCAAGCCGAGCAGGAGCGAGAUGGUGGAAGGUCGUGGCGUUCCUGCGGUGCUGGCUGCUGCCCUGUGCCCGGGCAACUCUGCGUGAGGUGGGGAGCUGCCGGCGGGCGCUGAGGCCAUGGAGCGCUUCCUGGGCUUCGUCAAGCAGAUACGGAGGUCGAGGAGGAGAAAAGGCAAAAAGUACCGCCCGGAGGAGGAUUACCACGAGGGCUAUGAGGAUGUCUAUUAUUACGCCUCUGAACAUUUUCGAAGUAAGUGUUUUGCGUAACCUCGCUUUCCUUUGGCUGUGAUAAACGUUACGUUUGUAAGAUUCUUUAAAAAAAAAAAAAAGGCAAACACCCUAAAGCCCAAACAGUAUUCCCUACUUGGUAGAACCUGAGCCCUGUGCUAGUAUGAAAGCUUCCGGCUAUAGAUUUGUCUGUCUGUGGCUGCUGAUGACCAGUGUGGA
rnacentral:lncRNA from 1 species